rnacentral:rRNA from 1 species
UACAGAGGUCUCAAGCGUUGUUCGGAUUCAUUGGGCGUAAAGGGUGUGUAGGUGGCGCCGUAAGUCGGGUGUGAAAUUUCGGAGCUUAACUCCGAAACUGCAUUCGAUACUGCGGUGCUUGAGGACUGGAGAGGAGACUGGAAUUCACGGUGUAGCAGUGAAAUGCGUAGAUAUCGUGAGGAAGACCAGUGGCGAAGGCGGAUCUCUGGACAGUUCCUGACGCUGAGGCGCGAAGGCCAGGGGAGCAAACGGG